rnacentral:tRNA from 1 species
GGAUGUUUAGCUCAGCCGGGAGAGCAUCGCCUUUACACGGCGGAGGUCACAGGUUCGAUCCCUGUAACAUCCA